UGAAGAUAGCACGGGCCAGAUCGAACCGGAGAAAUCCACAGCGACAGGGGAGGUAUCCAUCCCCGACCCGCGUCGUUUCCCUGGGAAAACGCUCCACGCCUCUAGGGGUCGGGGAGAAAAGCCACGGCUCGAGACCGCGAGCGCGACCAAGAUCCACCGCUUCGCUUCCGAUCUUCUCCGCCGGCGACUGGAGAGACGGCCCGGCCCCUCUCCCUCCGGUGCUCCGCCACCACGCUCCGUCUCUCCAAUGACCGCGACGUCUGUUGUCCUUACGCUGCUCCUUCCCCGGAUCUCCCCUCCGCCUCGAAUUUCCUGUCCCCUCCGGCGACGGCGACGGCGACGGUUCCGCGGUCAAAUUCCACUUACUUCGACCUAAGGCCGGAUGCAAAAUUUACUCACAGGUGACGAUAUGUCAUUCUUCUGUUGCAAGAUAGUCUUGUCCUUGCAAAGGAACGAACUGCUUCUAGACUAUGUAAUCCUGUUUGGAUUGAAGGUAUUUUCCCUCAUUACACUUAGGACAAGUGAACCUUCAAGUUUAAUCUUCCAAGGCUUGUUUUCUAGCCCAAGUGUUUUUUAAGGCUUAGGCAGAGUAGGGCUCUUGGUUGAACUGAAAUUUCUACUACUGGUGGAAGUCAUUAGAUUUGAGCAGAAGUUGGUUCUUGGUUGAAACUAAUCUGGAGCUUUGCAGUUUUUUAUAGCCGGCUGGUGGAGGCAAAGUCUCAUGCCUGAGCAGUUACUACUUGUUGCUAAUUCCAUUAUUGUAUGAUAUGCUGGUGCAGGAUCUGUGACUGUUGAAUUGCUGCACAUAUUACACAUACUUUUUUCUUUGCCUUUAUUUUUAUAAAGUAUAUACCUUUUACUUUCUGCAAUAAAGAAAACUACAUUGCGUAUAGUGCGAAAAUGUCUGCCCAAUAAUGCUUUAUUUGUUAACUUACAUUAAUCUAUUCACAAUUCUUAUCUGAAAAUGAUAAUUGAACUGGUAGGUGGAUGAGUGAUAGGAUAAAUUAAUUGUGUUUUUCUAUGCUCGAUCAACCUUCUACAGUUCUAUGUGUGCCUUUCUUUAAUUACAUCCAGUAGAGAAGGGGCCAGAUAUGAUAAACCAUGGUCAUGUACUCAAGUUCUCAAAUGCAACAUAGAAUCAACAUAUUUGUCUUCCGAAUAAAUUGUAAGAUAUGGGUAAGAAGUUCUCGCACGAGUACUACUCAGAAUGGUGAGCCUUUUUUUCACUAGUCUUGCCAUCUGUUGCUGAUCUACUUAUGCUUGAGAACACUGCAAUGAAACCGUGUCGUACUAGUAUUGAACGAUUUACUAAACUGUUGUAUUUUGAAACAGUUGCUGACUUCCAAAAAAAAAUUCUUCUAAUUCAGUCAACAUCGAGCUGCUGUUCUCAGCUGAUGUGGAGUAGAGGAAGACGAGAUAUCCCGAACAUUGCCUUACAAUUUGCACCUUCAGAAGUGUGGUUGUCCAUGGCAUGGAGUUUUGGUAAUUUAGAACUUUUUGUACCGGUGUAAAGGUCCAGGACAAGCUAGUAGCUAAAAUCUAUUUGUUCCUAUGGGCAUUGGCUUCAUUGUUCUAAAACUCAGAACCUGUUGAACAAUGAUGUUAUUUGUAAUGGCGGCAUGAGAGGAGGAAGAUUUGGUUGCUUGUUCUGUAUAGCUUCCUAUAAGCAAUGCACCUCUAGAUGAUUUUGUCAAAAGCGUGUCGAGUUGAUAUUCUCAAUAUAUUAUUAUUUAUCAGUUUGCAAGUUCAUUAA